AGGGCACCACCAGGAGUGGAGCCUGCGGCUUAAUUUGACUCAACACGGGAAAUCUCACCAGGCCCGGACACUGGAAGGAUUGACAGAUUGAGAGCUCUUUCUCGAUUCGGUGGGUGGUGGUGCAUGGCCGUUCUUAGUUGGUGGAGUGAUUUGUCUGGUUAAUUCCGAUAACGAACGAGACUCUGUCCUGCUAAAUAGUUCCCGCGUCCUUUGUUGCGCGGGAAAUUCUUCUUAGAGGGACUGGCGGCGUCUAGCCGCACGAGAUUGAGCAAUAACAGGUCUGUGAUGCCCUUAGAUGCUCUGGGCCGCACGCGCGCUACACUGAAGGGAUCAGCGCGUCUUCCCUUCCCGAGAGGGACGGGUAACCCGCUGAACCCCCUUCGUGGUAGGGAUCGGGGCUUGCAAUUAUUCCCCGUGAACCAGGAAUUCCCAGUAAGCGCAAGUCAUAAGCUUGCGUUGAUUACGUCCCUGCCCUUUGUACACACCGCCCGUCGCUACUACCGAUUGAACGUUUUAGUG
rnacentral:rRNA from 1 species